rnacentral:tRNA from 1 species
GGGCCCUUAGCUCAGUUGGUAGAGCGGCUGACUUUUAAUCAGUAGGUCGCAGGUUCGAAUCCUGCAGGGCUCACCA